GGGCCCUUAGCUCAAUUGGUAGAGCAGUGGACUUUUAAUCCAUUGGUUCCGGGUUCGAGCCCCGGGGGGCCCACCC
rnacentral:tRNA from 1 species